AAGUGAAUCAUAGGAUGAUAAACACUUCACUAUGACUUAAGAUUAGAUUCAGGAGACCUAUUAAGAUUAUAGAUUUCUUGUAGGCUUUGUGGAUCGUGAGGACUAGCACUGCUAUACCAAUUCAGAGUUAAGAAUAAACGACAGGCUUUGCCUAUUCAGGUUGAUUGGUCGGUGCUGACGGGGCAGAGCUGAGGCUAGGGUUCAACUCCGUAUUUUGUCUUCCGCUGUUGCACUAGCUCUUAUUUGUCUUUUGUUUCUCCAACUUAAGACUUUUAUGUUAAAUUCUGAAUUAUGUUUCUUAUCGAGCUUAAACUCUCAACUUCUAGCUCUAUGUUAUUAACGUUGGUUAUCGGAAGCAUGAAACCGAACUUGUGAUCCUAAGGCUUAGAAUGUUGUUGAUUGAUUAAUAUCACUUGAUUUUUGUCUUUCUUCA